UUGCAGCAACAAAGGAUCAAAUCCGCAACCCUUCUUCUCAAUUCUUCUCCAAAAUUCAAAUGAUCAUAACUUCUUCGUUUCUCAACGAAAUUUAGCGAUUCUUGCGGCCACGGAACGAGGAAACGAUUAUCUACAGCUCUAUGGGUUGAAUUUGAGGUAAGAAAAUCGAAUUUCAGUUAAGGUUUCAGAGUUAUAUUUCGAGUUUUACAAGUUUGAUGGUGAUGAUGCUUGAUUAACUAAGACUUGAUGUUUAUGCUAUGUAGUUGAUUAGUUGUAGUGAUUAUGGAUGAAAAUUGAUUGAUUAUGAUGAGUGUGAGAGUUGUUCUUGGUUAGUGUUCAUGAGCUAAUUUAGGGAUUUUUAUUAAUUUGUUUUGUGAGGUGUUUACAAGCUUCCAUGGAAGGUUUUUGAUGAUGAAUUUGGGCAUGAAACCUUCGGCCAAGAGACAAUCAUCAAGACUCGAAGAAGCGACUAUCGACAAGGCUCGGAAUUUAGAAGAUUGUGACAUCGCUUAGCCGCUUUAAAGUAUAUGGAUAGCAAGUGCGGAAUAAGCUAAAAAGGGAAGUUCUAAAGCUAUAAAUAGUGGCGGAGAUUUUUCAACACUUGGGAUCUCGUCAUCGUGAAUUUGUGAUCUUCCUUCCUCAUCGCCACUGUCCAUUUCACUGUCGCAUUUCACUCGGUCCAAUCCCUGCAAUCCACAGCAUCGUCCUCUCGUUAAUCUCCACCUUCAUUUUCAUCGGCUUAUUAUUAUCAGCAGUCGCAGAUAUAUGUGACACCGGCUGGUUUUGGCGACGAAUCAAAACUACCUUCACCUUCCAAUGGCUUCUUUGUUUCUCACAAGGCAAGAGACCCGCCGGCAGAGUUUUUAUUCUAGUCAUACAUUUUUUAUUUCUCUCGAUUCUUUCAUUUACUCUCGACAUUCUUUACAAUAUUACAAUAUCGAAAAAUAUCUCCUUUUUAUUUGGAUUGAGAUUUGAGAAGAAUUAGUAAAGGUUGAAAGGAGUUAGAAAAUUUCA